rnacentral:rRNA from 1 species
GACGAACCGAGCAAACGUUAUUCGGAAUCACUGGGCUUAAAGGGCGCGUAGGCGGGCAUUCAAGUCCGUGGUGAAAUCCGGCAGCUCAACUGUCGAACUGCCGCGGAUACUGGGUGUCUCGAGGGAGGUAGGGGCGUGCGGAACUAUUGGUGGAGCGGUGAGAUGCGUUGAUAUCAAUAGGAACUCCGGUGGCGAAGGCGGCACGCUGGACCUCUUCUGACGCUGAGGCGCGAAAGCCAGGGGAGCAAACGGG